CGGAGGAAAAGAAACCAACAGGGAUUGCCUUAGUAGCGGCGAGUGAAGCGGCAAAAGCUCAAAUUUGAAAUCUGGCGCCUUCGGUGUCCGAGUUGUAAUUUGAAGAUUGUAACCUUGGGGUUGGCUCUUGUCUAUGUUUCUUGGAACAGGACGUCACAGAGGGUGAGAAUCCCGUGCGAUGAGAUGCCCAAUUCUAUGUAAGGUGCUUUCGAAGAGUCGAGUUGUUUGGGAAUGCAGCUCUAAGUGGGUGGUAAAUUCCAUCUAAAGCUAAAUAUUGGCGAGAGACCGAUAGCGAACAAGUACAGUGAUGGAAAGAUGAAAAGAACUUUGAAAAGAGAGUGAAAAAGUACGUGAAAUUGUUGAAAGGGAAGGGUUUGAGAUCAGACUCGAUAUUUUGUGAGCCUUGCCUUCGUGGCGGGGUGACCCGCAGCUUAUCGGGCCAGCAUCGGUUUGGGCGGUAGGAUAAUGGCGUAGGAAUGUGACUUUACUUCGGUGAAGUGUUAUAGCCUGCGUUGAUGCUGCCUGCCUAGACCGAGGACUGCGAUUUUAUCAAGGA
rnacentral:rRNA from 1 species